rnacentral:misc_RNA from 1 species
CUGAUGCCAAAGAAUGAGCUUACAUUUACCAUAAAGAUAGCAUUUGCAAAUAUCCAUUAGAACAAACACUUUAAUCAAUCACAAGAAACACAAACUAAAGGAAAGUUUUACCCUAAGCCCUCAUCCUUCUACCCCUUCCAAUUGUCUUUUUAAGAAAACACAAGAUUCUCCAAGGCUGAAAGGACUGAAGAAAGAGAACAACAUAGUCUGAAUUGCAAAGCGCAUGCAGCCACAGAGAAAACUGAGGCCAGUAAAAUCUCCAACUCUAGCUACCAGCAGCAGCAGGUACAGCAACUGACUUCGAGUCUUCUGCUUUCUCAUGUUCUUUGUUGAUCACCAAUUUCCUCAACUUCAUGAGCGGCAAUUUCUGAUGGCACUUGCACAACCACCUUCUGACAUUUCUGGGUUGCAUUCUGCAACCAUACAUAACCAUCAGCUAAUGUCCAGGAAUGCACACCAUCAGUUUACCUCCAAGCACACAUGACACAUGGAGGCAUUGUUAUAAAGAAAGACUAGCCACAGGAUCCUUUUCACUGUCUCAUAUUCUACUUAUAAUAGCUCAUUUAACACAACAGAACAAUUACAUAUUUCAGCUUUGGUUUUCAGAACUGAUAUCCUUAACUCUUUCACCUCUUCAACUGCAGAGUAAGCUUUUGUGGGAAUUCCCAGCUCUACCGGUUGGACAUCAAUUAUGACCAAUAGGAUUUGGAACAUAUUUGCAAUGGCAAACAAAAAAUUAUUAAUAAAGCAGAAAAAUUAAUAUUAAAGCAAACCUGAGGAGAAAAGAUCAAAGAAAAAAAUAGAUAUAUUUUGCCAAGAGGCAGAUAGUCCAAGUGAGAGAUGUCUAUUUCCAUCAAGAAACAGAACAAAGAACUUUAUAAAACACAGGUGAUGAUGUUACUCAUUAAAUAGUCCAUAAAUGUCCAGGUCAUUUUCCCUCAGUUUUGGUCCUGUGCUGUACCACUAGCAACCCAACACAUUCUCCUUGGCUGAAAAAGCAAUUUGUUAUCUUAAUAGCAUCAAAAUCUCUUGAGAAAGAACAGCAAUAUAUAUAGGAAAUAGCUUCUAUUAAGAGAACACUGACUCAUGAUAAUUGUGGUCAAGAAACCAGAUGCUUGGGUCCUUAUCAUCUUCUUCAAUGGCACUGAGAAAUUCCAAUAUGAGCUUUUAUUUGGUCCAUAUCCCAAAUGGGAUAAAAAAACACAUCAGCAUGGCCAUGAUUCUCAAUAUCUAACACUCGCUACCAAACCAAAUUCCGUGAUUAACAUAUAAUGAUCUAUAACUCAGUAUAACCCGCAAAAGAAUUUUCAAACACAAAUUGAACUAUUGAAGGAUCAAAAGCAAAAGAGAUCUAGAAACUGUACAGAGAGAAAAACAAAAGUUGUACCUGCAUAGCUGUUGGUGACAUCAACAGUGCUUUUGAAAGAAGAACCAAACAAGACACCAAAAACGCGUUUGCGAGCUUCCUUAGCGACUCUGUUGUAGUUAUCGACGACCCUCAGGAGAACCAGUGGCGCAUUAUCACCUUCUCUAUCGGUCCCGCUGAUAUUUGCUGCGUCUUUAUCACAUCCAUUCCUACUUCUCGCUCGCUGAUUCAACUUGCCAAAUUCAGCAUUUCAAUACCCUUUUCUUUCUGUUACCAAUUCUUUGGAUUUCUGGUUAUGGGUUUCCUGAAUUUGGUUGCUUCUUCCCCAGGAAAUCGCCUUUAUAUGUGAUUUUCAGCUCUUG